CAGACUCUGCAAUGACAGAAUGGAGAAUUCUGGCAUGUGUGCAGUGGCUGCUGAGGAGAAGGGAGAGGCAGAUGAGCAGCAUCCUGAGGAUAUACUAAAUGGAGAACUCUCUCGCUUCCCUAUGGCUACUUGUUCCUGAGCCAGCCUGGGAAUGGUGGCCCAAGGGUAAGUCAGGAGACUCUGAUGCAGCCAGAACUUGGGGAAAAUCCACACCCCACUCCUUGCUGUCACUUCUAGGUUGGCCAGACCCUGCCCAGAUUUCCUUGUCUUCAGCCCACACUUCCUGAAAAACAGCAGACCCACCAUGAUCUCGACCAUGACUGGACUUCUCUACCAGAGGGCUUCCCUCUGUGGGAAAUCUCAAGGUUCCAAGGAUCAGAUCCAUAAUUGUUGAGAACAAAAUAAAGUUUUUGCUGAAAUGUCAACAAGUCCAAGAAAA